UACGUAGGGGGGCAAGCGUUGUCCGGAUUUAUUGGGCGUAAAGCGCUCGCAGGUGGUUCGUCGCGUCGUGCGUGAAAGACCCCCGGCUCAACUGGGGGGAGGUCGUGCGAUACGGGCGAACUGGAGGCCAGUAGGGGGGAUGCGGAAUUCCGAGUGUAGAGGUGAAAUUCGUAGAUAUUCGGAAGAACACCAGUGGCGAAGGCGGCUCACUGGACGACUGUUGACGCUGAGGUACGAAAGCGUGGGGGAGCAAACAGGG
rnacentral:rRNA from 1 species